rnacentral:rRNA from 1 species
CUUUCCCUCUGGCGGCAUGCUUUACACAUGCAAGUCGAACGGUAACAGGCCGCAAGGUGCUGACGAGUGGCGAACGGGUGAGUAAUGCAUCGGAACGUGCCCAGUCGUGGGGGAUAACUACUCGAAAGAGUAGCUAAUACCGCAUACGAUCUAUGGAUGAAAGCGGGGGACCGUAAGGCCUCGCGCGAUUGGAGCGGCCGAUGUCAGAUUAGGUAGUUGGUGGGGUAAAGGCUCACCAAGCCAACGAUCUGUAGCUGGUCUGAGAGGACGACCAGCCACACUGGGACUGAGACACGGCCCAGACUCCUACGGGAGGCAGCAGUGGGGAAUUUUGGACAAUGGGCGCAAGCCUGAUCCAGCAAUGCCGCGUGCAGGAAGAAGGCCUUCGGGUUGUAAACUGCUUUUGUACGGAACGAAACGGCUCUGGUUAAUACCCGGGGCUAAUGACGGUACCGUAAGAAUAAGCACCGGCUAACUACGUG